UAAUAAGUGUUUUAUGGCACUUUUUAAAUCCAUAUCCACCUUGUGUGCAAUGUCAGUCGAUCUUCUUCAUGGAGAUCGACCAAACAUCAACCUUUAUCUUUUAACUCUUUGUCUGAAAAAUAUUAUGAAUAAACAAUUCAAAAUG
rnacentral:misc_RNA from 1 species